rnacentral:rRNA from 1 species
GCAGGCUUAACACAUGCAAGUCGAACGCUCCGCAAGGGGAGUGGCAGACGGGUGAGUAACGCGUGGGAACAUACCCUUCGGUUCGGAAUAACUUAGGGAAACUUGAGCUAAUACCGAAUACGGUCGAGAGGCGAAAGAUUUAUCGCCGAAGGAUUGGCCCGCGUCCGAUUAGCUAGUUGGUGAGGUAAUGGCUCACAAAGGCGACGAUCGGUAGCUGGUCUGAGAGGAUGAUCAGCCACAUUGGGACUGAGACACGGCCCAAACUCCUACGGGAGGCAGCAGUGGGGAAUAUUGGACAAUGGGCGAAAGCCUGAUCCAGCCAUGCCGCGUGAGUGAUGACGGCCUUAGGGUUGUAAAGCUCUUUCAUCAGGGACGAUAAUGACGGUACCUGAAGAAGAAGCCCCGGCUAACUUCGUGCCAGCAGCCGCGGUAAUACGAGGGGGCUAGCGUUGUUCGGAAUUACUGGGCGUAAAGCGCGUGUAGGCUGGUCUUUAAGUCAGGGGUGAAAUGCCAAGGCUCAACCUUGGAACUGCCUUUGAUACUGGAGAUCUUGAGUCCGGGAGAGGUGAGUGGAACUGCGAGUGUAGAGGUGAAAUUCGUAGAUAUUCGCAAGAACACCAGUGGCGAAGGCGGCUCACUGGCCCGGUACUGGCGCUGAGAUGCGAAAGCGUGGGGAGCAAACAGGAUUAGAUACCCUGGUAGUCCACGCUGUAAACGAUGGAUGCUAGCCGUUAGGCAGCUUGCUGCUUAGUGGCGCAGUUAACACUUUAAGCAUCCCGCCUGGGGAGUACGGUCCGCAAGAUUAA